rnacentral:rRNA from 1 species
GACGAACGCUGGCGGCGUGCCUAAUACAUGCAAGUUGAGCGAUGAAGAUUGGUGCUUGCACCAAUUUGAAGAGCAGCGAACGGGUGAGUAACGCGUGGGGAAUCUGCCUUUGAGCGGGGGACAACAUUUGGAAACGAAUGCUAAUACCGCAUAACAACUUUAAACAUAAGUUUUAAGUUUGAAAGAUGCAAUUGCAUCACUCAAAGAUGAUCCCGCGUUGUAUUAGCUAGUUGGUGAGGUAAAGGCUCACCAAGGCGAUGAUACAUAGCCGACCUGAGAGGGUGAUCGGCCACAUUAGGACUGAGACACGGCCCAAACUCCUACGGGAGGCAGCAGUAGGGAAUCUUCGGCAAUGGACGAAAGUCUGACCGAGCAACGCCGCGUGAGUGAAGAAGGUUUUCGGAUCGUAAAACUCUGUUGGUAGAGAAGAACGUUGGUGAGAGUGGAAAGCUCAUCAAGUGACGGUAACUACCCAGAAAGGGACGGCUAACUACGU